rnacentral:rRNA from 1 species
AGAAUGAACGCUGGCGGCGUGCUUUACACAUGCAAGUCGAGCGAGGCGGCCCGCAAGGGUCAGUCGAGCGGCGAACGGGUGAGUAACGCGUGGAUAACCUGCCCUGAGGUGUGGAACAACCAGGGGAAACUCUGGCUAAUACCGCAUGAUACCGAGAGGUCAAAGGGGGCUCGCAAGAGCUCUCGCCACAGGAGGGGUCCGCGUUCGAUUAGCUAGUUGGUAGGGUAAUGGCCUACCAAGGCGACGAUCGAUAGCCGGCCUGAGAGGGUGAUCGGCCACACUGGAACUGAGACACGGUCCAGACUCCUACGGGAGGCAGCAGUGGGGAAUUUGCGCAAUGGGCUAACGCCUGACGCAGCAACGCCGCGUGGAGGAUGAAGGUCCUUGGAUUGUAAACUCCUGUCAGCAGGAAAAAGCAACCUGACCUCAUACGUCAGGAAGUUGAUUGUACUGCAGAGAAGCCCCGCUAACUCUGUGCCAGCAGCCG